AACGCGAAGAACCUUACCAGCCCUUGACAUCCCGGUCGCGGACUCCAGAGACGGAGUUCUUCAGUUCGGCUGGACCGGAGACAGGUGCUGCAUGGCUGUCGUCAGCUCGUGUCGUGAGAUGUUGGGUUAAGUCCCGCAACGAGCGCAACCCCCGUCCUUAGUUGCUACCAUUCAGUUGAGCACUCUAAGGAGACUGCCGGUGAUAAGCCGCGAGGAAGGUGGGGAUGACGUCAAGUCCUCAUGGCCCUUACGGGCUGGGCUACACACGUGCUACAAUGGCGGUGACAAUGGGACGCGAAGGGGCAACCCCUAGCAAAUCUCAAAAAGCCGUCUCAGUUCGGAUUGGGCUCUGCAACUCGAGCCCAUGAAGUUGGAAUCGCUAGUAAUCGUGGAUCAGCACGCCACGGUGAAUACGUUCCCGGGCCUUGUA
rnacentral:rRNA from 1 species